UUGCAUCUCAUCAUUAUUUUUGCUUUAGUAUUUGAUUAAAAUAUGAAUUGCAAGUAUUGAUCAAUUUUGUGAUAUAAAAAAAAAAUACUUUUGGAAAUAUAAUCAAAUCACUUCAUCUUAUAGUAUGCGUUACUCACUAUUGGAUAAGUUGCUAAAUGAUUAAUCAAUCUAUUAAGAAUAACUCUAUGAAUUCUCUAUAUGCUUGAUUGAGAGUUUUUAUCCAUGGCAUUAUUGUUUAUUGAUCAUAGAUAUAAUAAUGUGUACUUGGUAUGCUUUUGAAUAUAUGCACUAUGAAUACCAAGAUUAAAGAAACCAUCUUUGGCAUAUAAAAUCAGCUCAUGCUAGUAUGUACUUAAUCUCAAAAGACCUUGCCGUUGGCUUACUUAGAUUAUCUUCUGAAAGGUCAAAGUUUGCUAUGCAUGUUAACUAAAGAAACAAACAAAAAUCAAUUUCUAAAUCUAAAGAUGUUUCCAUCACUAAGUUUUCAAAAGCUUACAUUAGUUUUGUUCUUGGCACUUAGAUUGAAAUAUUUUCUGCAUUGGCACAAACUCACAAAAAGCGAUCAAAUGAAAAAAGUUUGCAAACUAUGAAAGUAAAAGAAGUAUCAUGGCAUAGUCUUGAAAACCAAUUUUUAUCAAGUUGUGCACAGAAAAUUAUAUUGAAUACAAUUGUUUCUGCACCAAGAACACCA
rnacentral:lncRNA from 1 species